UACGGAGGGGGCUAGCGUUGUUCGGAAUUACUGGGCGUAAAGCGCACGUAGGCGGCUUUGUAAGUUAGAGGUGAAAGCCCGGGGCUCAACUCCGGAAUUGCCUUUAAGACUGCAUCGCUCGAAUUGUGGAGAGGUAAGUGGAAUUCCGAGUGUAGAGGUGAAAUUCGUAGAUAUUCGGAAGAACACCAGUGGCGAAGGCGGCUCACUGGCCCGGUACUGACGCUGAGAUGCGAAAGCGUGGGGAGCAAACAGG
rnacentral:rRNA from 1 species